AUUGAACGCUGGCGGCAGGCCUAACACAUGCAAGUCGAACGAGUGGCGGACGGGUGAGUAAUGUCUGGGAAACUGCCCGAUGGAGGGGGAUAACUACUGGAAACGGUAGCUAAUACCGCAUACCAUCGGAUGUGCACAGAUGGGAUUAGCUAGUAGGUGGGAUAACGGUUCACGUAGGCGCCUAUCCCUAGCUGGUCUGAGAGGAUGACCAGCCACUCUGGAACUGAGACACGGUCCAGACUCCUACGGGAGGCAGCAGUGGGGAUGAUUGCACAAGGGGCGCAAGCCUGAUGCAGCCAUGCAGCGUGUAUGAAGAAGGCCUUCGGGUUGGAAAGUACUUUCAGCGAGGAGGCGUUACUCGCAGAAGAAGCAGCGGCUAACUCCGUGCCAGCAGCCGCGGGAAUA
rnacentral:rRNA from 1 species